rnacentral:rRNA from 1 species
GAGCGAGGUCUUCGGGCCUAGCGGCGGACGGGUUAGUAACGCGUGGGAACGUGCCCUUCACUACGGAAUAGUCCCGGGAAACUGGGUUUAAUACCGUAUACGCCCUUCGGGGGAAAGAAUUUCGGUGAAGGAUCGGCCCGCGUCUGAUUAGGUAGUUGGUGGGGUAAUGGCCUACCAAGCCUACGAUCAGUAGCUGGUUUUAGAGGAUGAUCAGCAACACUGGGACUGAGACACGGCCCAGACUCCUACGGGAGGCAGCAGUGGGGAAUCUUAGACAAUGGGCGCAAGCCUGAUCUAGCCAUGCCGCGUGAGUGAUGAAGGCCUUAGGGUCGUAAAGCUCUUUCGCUGGGGAAGAUAAUGACGGUACCCAGUAAAGAAACCCCGGCUAACUCCGUGCCAGCAGCCGCGGUAAUACGGAGGGGGUUAGCGUUGUUCGGAAUUACUGGGCGUAAAGCGCGCGUAGGCGGACUGUUAAGUCGGGGGUGAAAUCCCGGGGCUCAACCCCGGAACGGCCUUCGAUACUGGCAGUCUGGAGUUCGAGAGAGGUGAGUGGAAUUCCGAGUGUAGAGGUGAAAUUCGUAGAUAUUCGGAGGAACACCAGUGGCGAAGGCGGCUCACUGGCUCGAUACUGACGCUGAGGUGCGA